rnacentral:misc_RNA from 1 species
GAUGAAGAACGCAGCGAAAUGCGAUAAGUAAUGUGAAUUGCAGAAUUCAGUGAAUCAUCGAAUCUUUGAACGCACAUUGCGCCCCCUGGUAUUCCGGGGGGCAUGCCUGUUCGAGCGUCAUUUCACCACUCAAGCCUCGCUUGGUAUUGGGCAACGCGGUCCGCCGCGUGCCUCAAAUCGUCCGGCUGGGUCUUCUGUCCCCUAAGCGUUGUGGAAACUAUUCGCUAAAGGGUGUUCGGGAGGCUACGCCGUAAAACAACCCCAUUUCUACGGUUGACCUCGGAUCAGGUAGGGAUACCCGCUGAACUUAAGCAUAUCAAUAAGCGGAGGA